rnacentral:rRNA from 1 species
GAGUUUGAUCCUGGCUCAGAUUGAACGCUGGCGGCAUGCCUUACACAUGCAAGUCGAACGGCAGCAUGAUCUAGCUUGCUAGAUUGAUGGCGAGUGGCGAACGGGUGAGUAAUACAUCGGAACGUGCCCUGUAGUGGGGGAUAACUAGUCGAAAGAUUAGCUAAUACCGCAUACGACCUGAGGGUGAAAGUGGGGGACCGCAAGGCCUCAUGCUAUAGGAGCGGCCGAUGUCUGAUUAGCUAGUUGGUGGGGUAAAGGCCCACCAAGGCGACGAUCAGUAGCUGGUCUGAGAGGACGAUCAGCCACACUGGGACUGAGGCACGGGCCCAGACUCCUACGGGAGGCGAGCAGUGGGGAAUUUUGGACAAUGGGGGCAACCCUGAGUCCAGCAAUGCCGCGUGUGUGAAGAAGGCCUCGG